UGGCUCAGUGGUAGAGUGCCUGCCUUGCCUGCAUGAGGCCCUGGGUUCGAUUCUCAG
rnacentral:tRNA from 1 species